rnacentral:rRNA from 1 species
AUGAACGCUAGCUACAGGCUUAACACAUGCAAGUCGAGGGGCAGCAUGGUCUUAGCUUGCUAAGGCCGAUGGCGACCGGCGCACGGGUGAGUAACACGUAUCCAACCUGCCGUCUACUCUUGGACAGCCUUCUGAAAGGAAGAUUAAUACAAGAUGGCAUCAUGAGUCCGCAUGUUCACAUGAUUAAAGGUAUUCCGGUAGACGAUGGGGAUGCGUUCCAUUAGAUAGUAGGCGGGGUAACGGCCCACCUAGUCUUCGAUGGAUAGGGGUUCUGAGAGGAAGGUCCCCCACAUUGGAACUGAGACACGGUCCAAACUCCUACGGGAGGCAGCAGUGAGGAAUAUUGGUCAAUGGGCGAGAGCCUGAACCAGCCAAGUAGCGUGAAGGAUGACUGCCCUAUGGGUUGUAAACUUCUUUUAUAAAGGAAUAAAGUCGGGUAUGGAUACCCGUUUGCAUGUACUUUAUGAAUAAGGAUCGGCUAACUCCGUGCCAGCAGCCGCGGUAAUACGGAGGAUCCGAGCGUUAUCCGGAUUUAUUGGGUUUAAAGGGAGCGUAGAUGGAUGUUUAAGUCAGUUGUGAAAGUUUGCGGCUCAACCGUAAAAUUGCAGUUGAUACUGGAUAUCUUGAGUGCAGUUGAGGCAGGCGGAAUUCGUGGUGUAGCGGUGAAAUGCUUAGAUAUCACGAAGAACUCCGAUUGCGAAGGCAGCCUGCUAAGCUGCAACUGACAUUGAGGCUCGAAAGUGUGGGUAUCAAACAGGAUUAGAUACCCUGGUAGUCCACACGGUAAACGAUGAAUACUCGCUGUUUGCGAUAUACAGCAAGCGGCCAAGCGAAAGCGUUAAGUAUUCCACCUGGGGAGUACGCCGGCAACGGUGAAACUCAAAGGAAUUGACGGGGGCCCGCACAAGCGGAGGAACAUGUGGUUUAAUUCGAUGAUACGCGAGGAACCUUACCCUGGCUUAAAUUGCAGAUGAAUUACGGUGAAAGCCGUAAGCCGCAAGGCAUCUGUGAAGGUGCUGCAUGGUUGUCGUCAGCUCGUGCCGUGAGGUGUCGGCUUAAGUGCCAUAACGAGCGCAACCCUUGUUGUCAGUUACUAACAGGUUCCGCUGAGGACUCUGACAAGACUGCCAUCGUAAGAUGUGAGGAAGGUGGGGAUGACGUCAAAUCAGCACGGCCCUUACGUCCGGGGCUACACACGUGUUACAAUGGGGGGUACAGAGGGCCGCUACCACGCGAGUGGAUGCCAAUCCCCAAAACCUCUCUCAGUUCGGACUGGAGUCUGCAACCCGACUCCACGAAGCUGGAUUCGCUAGUAAUCGCGCAUCAGCCACGGCGCGGUGAAUACGUUCCCGGGCCUUGUACACACCGCCCGUCAAGCCAUGGGAGCCGGGGGUACCUGAAGUGCGUAACCGCGAGGAGCGCCCUAGGGUAAAACUGGUGACUGGGGCU